ACUGAGACCGAUGCGCGAUUCCCGUCCUCCCUUCGUCGGGUCGCUCACGCGGCUCGGCNUCGGGGCUAAAGGUCNGGCGCNGCUCCGCNUUGGUGACUNCUGGAUAACUCACUGGUCGAUCGCACGGGGCUUCCACGGCCGGGCGAC
rnacentral:rRNA from 1 species